GACGAACGCUGGCGGCGUGCCUAAUACAUGCAAGUUGAGCGCUGAAGGUUGGUACUUGUACCAACUGGAUGAGCAGCGAACGGGUGAGUAACGCGUGGGGAAUCUGCCUUUGAGCGGGGGACAACAUUUGGAAACGAAUGCUAAUACCGCAUAAAAACUUUAAACACAAGUUUUAAGUUUGAAAGAUGCAAUUGCAUCACUCAAAGAUGAUCCCGCGUUGUAUUAGCUAGUUGGUGAGGUAAAGGCUCACCAAGGCGAUGAUACAUAGCCGACCCGAGAGGGUGAUCGGCCACAUUGGGACUGAGACACGGCCCAAACUCCUACGGGAGGCAGCAGUAGGGAAUCUUCGGCAAUGGACGAAAGUCUGACCGAGCAACGCCGCGUGAGUGAAGAAGGUUUUCGGAUCGUAAAACUCUGUUGGUAGAGAAGAACGUUGGUGAGAGUGGAAAGCUCAUCAAGUGACGGUAACUACCCAGAAAGGGACGGCUAACUACGUG
rnacentral:rRNA from 1 species